AGUCGAGCGGUAACAUUUCUAGCUUGCUAGAAGAUGACGAGCGGCGGACGGGUGAGUAAUGCUUGGGAAUAUGCCUUAUGGUGGGGGACAACAGUUGGAAACGACUGCUAAUACCGCAUAAUGUCUACGGACCAAAGGGGGGGAUCUUCGGACCUCUCGCCAUUUGAUUAGCCCAAGUGAGAUUAGCUAGUUGGUGAGGUAAUGGCUCACCAAGGCGACGAUCUCUAGCUGGUUUGAGAGGAUGAUCAGCCACACUGGGACUGAGACACGGCCCAGACUCCUACGGGAGGCAGCAGUGGGGAAUAUUGCACAAUGGGCGCAAGCCUGAUGCAGCCAUGCCGCGUGUGUGAAGAAGGCCUUCGGGUUGUAAAGCACUUUCAGUAAGGAGGAAAGGGAUGUAGUUAAUAACUGCAUUCUGUGACGUUACUUACAGAAGAAGCACCGGCUAACUUCGUGCCAGCAGCCGCGGUAAUACGAGGGGUGCAAGCGUUAAUCGGAAUUACUGGGCGUAAAGCGUUCGUAGGCGGUUGAUUAAGCAAGAUGUGAAAGCCCAGGGCUCAACCUUGGAACUGCAUUUUGAACUGGUCAACUAGAGUACUGUAGAGGGUGGUGGAAUUUC
rnacentral:rRNA from 1 species